rnacentral:rRNA from 1 species
CCCCAGCGCCACGAGUGGGAGUCGCUUUUAUUGGGCCUAAAGCGUUCGUAGCCUGUUUAGUAAGUCUUUUGUGAAGUUGUUAGGCUUAACCUGACAGCGUGCAAGAGAUACUACUUUUCUUGGGACCGGGAGGAGUAUGGGGUAUUCCAUGGGGAACGGUAAAAUGUAAUAAUCCAUGGAGGACCACCAGUGGCGAAGGCGCCAUACUAGAACGGAUUCGACGGUGAGGGACGAAGGCUAGGGGAGCAAAACG